CGCAUCUUGCGCUCUCGGGUUAUUCCUGGGAGCAUGCUUGUUUGAGUAACAGAAAAGCUCAACCCCGCUUUCUUAAUUGAAAGUAGACUUCAGGGUUAGGAUCAUGGCAGUCUGUUGAACCCGUUCAACUCUGCCGAAAGUUAAGCGGCUGAACUUUUGUAUCGUGCGCUAGACACUAUUGUUAUAACAUCCUUAGCUGGUCUCAAUAGUUAGUGCGAUUAAUCAAGUAGGCUUUGUUUAUUUUAAAAACUUGCAAGUUUUCGCGAAUUUUGCAGUUAAAUUUUUUUAAGCUUGUUCUCAAAUCAAGUAGGACUACCCGCUGAACUUAA
rnacentral:misc_RNA from 1 species